CGGUGACAUCAUCUUUGUUGAAACGCCGGACGGCGUGAUGAGUCCCAGAUGUUAAUGCACACUGAGAGUCGAGAAAGAAUAAAAUUCAAAGGUCGACACUAACAACUAUGGAGGGAUGCACUCACUUUACAUUCUGGGGUACAUGGAUGAAUACGUGUUUUUUUACAACGCAUCCUAAAGCUGUUAAACCUUAGAGGCCAUUUAAAAGAUGAGCAAGAACAAACAACGUGAUUAAAGGGUGCUGCCGAAAGCUGUACAGGUGUCAGCUGCCACCACUGCUCAUUACACAGAUGAAGCUGUCAACUUUUAAUUUAUAGACAAUUUGAGAAGGGGUACAUGAAGACUUGAAAAGAAGGCUUUUUUUUGCUAAAAGGAAAAAAAGAACUGUUAUUAAGAACCUCUGCUGAAAUGCACUGGUCAUCAACACAGGAUUCUGGAAGAUUCAGAGGGUGAGAGAAGACUGUUCAUACAGAAACUAGUUCCAAGGCUGGAAAAACCACAUGAUGAUGUGUUGAAUUGAUGUUGAUGAAGACUAUAUUUUGGAAACUUCAAUUAGAGCCAGAGAAUGUUUCCAGGGUGAAGCAGAGGAUGUGAGAUCAAAAUAGACACUGUCUUCUUGAGCUUUACUGACUGCAAAAACAGAAGAUAUUCUGCUGAGUGAUGUUUUUGUCCUGUCACGCCCUAAGCUUCCACAUCCCCCUGUUCAAACAAA